GACCCCAGGUCAGGCGGGACUACCCGCUGAGUUUAAGCAUAUCAAUAA
rnacentral:rRNA from 1 species